rnacentral:lncRNA from 1 species
GAUGGGUGGCAGGAGAUAAGGUCAGAGCAAUCGCAGUGGCCCAGAUUUAGGAACUGUCGAAUAUGUGAAGACCUUAGGAUUUUACUCUGAGUGGGAUGGGUAUCUUUGGAGCAUAAAGUAUCACACUUGAAGUGUGACAAGAUCUGGCCUAUGUUUUAAAAGUAUCACUCUAGCUGCUAUAUUGAAAACAGAUGAGGAGACAGCCAGAGCAAUGGACGAAGAUAGAGGCACUGAAGCCAACUGGGAAACUACCACAAUAAUCCAGGAUGCCGGUGACAUGAACUAAGGGUGAGAGGAUGAAUCAAGGCUGGCCAGACACAUUCAGAGGAUGUGCCUAUGUUCUGGAAACUUUGAAAACUACUCCUUUCACAUACUAGAAGCAUGGAAGAUCCAGCUGCCCUCUAAGGCCUCAAGUCAAUCGUCCCUUAUCCACCAAAAUGACUAAAUACCAUCUGACACUUUCCUUCUCUCCUGCUUGAGUCUGAAGACACAUUUGGAGUCUCUUGCCACCAGCAGAAUGACAACCCUUGUAGGUCUGUCGGGAAACCUGCAAGAAACCUGAGAUGGGAAAAGGUCAAGAACUGAAAACCAAUUGAAAAACCAUAUUGUAUUUACUGGGACACGUGCAUGGAAAGAUGUGGAAGAUACAUUUUAGAUUUAGAUUGAAGGAGAGAAAGAGUCAUCGCCUAUAUUCCUAUCACUCACAUUCCAUCUAUCCACGUUCAUACAUAAAUCAUGGAGGAUACGCAGCUCCAGAGCCACCUUGCAUCAAAAUGGAGUCAGAUUAAAGGGUUCACCAGGUAGCACUAUAUACCUCAUUUAUGUGCCCUUAAAAAACUUAGGGAGAUUCAUUCAAGUAUGGUAUGGCUUAAAAUGACCAAGUAAAAUCUGAACCACAUGCUUUCAUUUAAAUACAGAUGGUCAGGUUUUGUUUAUGUAUACAGAGCCAACUGCUUAUACAAAGCAGUGCCCUAUACAUAUAAACCAGCAAAGCCAUUUUAGAACCCAGAGUUUGAAAGAGUCUAUAUAAAUGUAAAUUACCAACCAAAGGGAGCAUAAAAUCUAUGGAUGUGAAAACGAGGCUACUAUCUUUCCUCAUCCAGCUCCCAUUGGCCAGCAUGGGCUCACACAGUGUUCUUUCAUUUGGGGAGUCUCUGGAGCAUGGAUUUAGCUGGGUUUCUGUGCCAGCGCUUCAGCUGGCAGUGAUUGGGUGACCUGUGUUUCCUCGGUGGUUGUUUGUCAUUGUCAGGGGGGCUUCCAGAUUUUACAGAGUCACUGAGGUCUUCACACAUCUGACUUGUCAUCCCAGCACUAUUUUGAUCCCUUGGAUUCUCCAGCAGGCAUCUUCCAGGAAAAUUCUGGGAGUGUCUUGGCCCAAUAUUUCAGUCUAAUGGCUAGGAGUAAGCUAGCUUUAUCCAAGGCCAGAGCUGAGCUCUAGUUGGGGAUAAAAUGCUACUGAAAGCUGUAUUAACUCUUGUACGCCACUAAUGUGUUUCAUUUGGGACCCUGCAGUAGCCAUUCACUAAAUGGGAUUCUGAGGCAUGAAAAAAGCUAAAGUGAGCUGCUCCCAACUUGUCAUUCUCAACAAGGGAGGAUGUGGCUCACAAUGGGGGAGGGGAUUGGUUGAAUAAGAGGGAAUGUCUGCAGACUGCUUGGAGAUCCACGCAGGAAGAACCCAGAGAAGAGCAAUCUAGCUAAAUGAAAUUGUUUUCUUUCUUUCCAACCACGGUAUAUUAAUUGGGCACAAAUCGGUCCACUUAAUGCCAAUUGACAUGAAGCAAUUUCCCAUUUGAUGGCAAUUGAAAACCCAUGCUUGCUGCCCCAAACCUGCUUGAUUGUUCCAAACAGAUUUCCCAUCCUAAAGUGGAAAUGGAUUUAAUUUGAUCUCUUCAGUCUGUUCGCCAUUAUGUGUGAAACAGUGGUAUUAGUAGCCAGGAAAUCAGCAGCUACCUGAGCAGUGGAGUGUUCAAAAUGGAGGCAUUCCAGCUGCUAGUGAAAAUUCAAAGGAAAGAGUCAUGCUAUAGUUGUGAUGGCUAGAGACCUGGGAUAGCAUAGCUGUUCUUUGUUGUUGUUGCAGCUGUCUCAUUGUUUUGAUUUGUCUUUUUCUUUUUUUUUUCUUUGCUGUUUCCUUAAGACUAGAGAAGCUUAAAGCUAAGGAGAGUCCUAGACAGCUACCUUGUCCAGUUGUCACUUCAAUGAGGAAACCCAGGCCUAACGAAGUUUUGUGACCUGCCUCAAUAAUAAUCUGCCCACUCUUUCUCACUCCUAUGUCUUUUUUAUUCUCAUGCAUUCCUUGCUCUCACUUCCAAGAAUUCUAGCUCAGAGCUCUAUCAGUGGAGAGGUAAUGGAAAGAAUAUAUGGUCUUAUAACUGAAAGUCUUGAGUUCAAGGGAUGUACCUGAGUCAUGUGACUUCUCAGGGCUUUGGUUCCCUUAUCAAUGAAAAGGAAAUACAGAUCCAUGCUUCCCAGUGUUUUUGCAACAAUCGAAUGAAAUAACUUAUGUAAAAGCAGUUUACAAAUUACACAGGAUCAUGAGAUGUAAAACAUUAUCCUACCAAAGCCCAAAGCCCCUCCUAGACAGGAGACAGGCCAAAUGGGUCAAAGGUUGGAAGCCAGGCAAGAAACAAGCUUUGAUCAAGUGACUGUAAGAAUCACGAGAGUACCAGUAGUACUCUCCACUCAUACCUCAAAUCAGAGAAAGAUUAGGGAUUAAAAAGCUGAAAAUAUUUGCAGAUGUUUGGCAUGGCUGUGGUUAGCCUUUUGACUUUUGGAACAAAUAACAUCUAGUGAUAUUUGUUUCACUUGUUUUUCUUUUAACUAAGUUGUCAGCCUAUUAUUUGAAAACUUUUUCCAUUCUAAAGCUCUAUUUUGUACAGAGAUAUCUAAUCACUUAUCUGAACAAAGAUGCAAACAUGGCCAUAUGGCCUUUGCCCUGUCAGAGAAAUCAGUGAAAUCAGAAAAAUCAGAGAGGCUUAUCCUAUAUUCUACUGGUAAUAUACCCAAGUGUUUUAUAAAAGUGUUUAUAGAAAUAUGUGCCCUUGGUGUUUUCACAAGUACAAGCAUAAAUGAAACAAGAUAUAGGCAGAUCAUCAUAGAUGAAGCUCUGGGCUAGGAGACACAAAGUGUUGCUUCCUGGUAGCUGUGUGACCUAGGGCAAGUCACUUCACCUCUCUGAGCUUCUGAGAGAUGAACAGGGGUACAAAAUGGGGAUAUGACAAUAUCAACCCCAGGAUUAAGCGAGAUGACAUCAUCCAGGUCUCAGCUCAAAUACCGCCUGUUCAGAGAGGCUAUAGUGCAUGCUGUGGUGGGUCACACAGAUCCCCCCUAUGAGGACUGAAGCAUCAUUUGCCUAGCUGCUGUGAGUGUUGGAAGCUGGAUCCCCUUCAUAGAUUGCCCUAAGCUGCCCAUCUCGCCCAAAAUCUUCCCACCAAAGGCAGCACACAUACAAUAGUGGCAAAUAAGAGGGUCUAAAGGCCAACUCCCCAGCCCCAACUCAAGAUACACUGUAGGACUACCCCAGCUUCAAGGCUUUCUGUGGUGUUGGAGGCUGAGGUUUUGCUGUGACUAUGUAAUAGCCCAACUUCUGUUUCUGCCCAAUCCUAUUUCCUGUACAUAUGCUCCUAGACUUAUAACAGGGUUACAUCCUGAUAAACUCAUCACAAGUUGAAAAUAUCAAGUUAAAAAUGCAUUUAAUACUCCUAACCUACCAAACAUCAUAGCUUAGCCCAGCCUACCUUAAACAUGCUCAGAACGCUUACAUUAGCCUAUGGUCGGGCAAAAACAUGUAACACAAAGCCUAUUUUAUAACAAGGUGUUGAAUAUCUCAUGUAAUUUAUUGAAUACUACACUGAAAGUGAGAAACAGAAUGGUUGCAUGUGCACUCGUAGUGCAGUUUCUACUGAAUAUAUAUCACUUUCACACCAUCUUAAAGUCAAAAAAUUGUUAAGUUUAGCCAUCUUUUUUUUUUAAUGGGUAAUUUUCUUUUUUUUAUUAUUAUUAUACUUUAAGUUUUAGGGUACAUGUGCACAAUGUGCAGGUUAGUUACAUAUGUAUACAUGUGCCAUGCUGGUGUGCUGCACCCAUUAACUCAUCAUUUAGCAUUAGGUAUAUCUCCUAAAGCUAUCCCUCCCCCCUCCCCCCACGCCACAACAGUCCCCAGAGUGUGAUGUUCCCCUUCCUGUGUCCAUGUGUUCUCAUUGUUCGAUUCCCACCUAUGAGUGAGAAUAUGCGGUGUUUGGUUUUUUGUUCUUGUGAUAGUUUACUGAGAAUGAUGAUUUCCAAUUUCAUCCAUGUCCCUACAAAGGACAUGAACUCAUCAUUUUUUAUGGCUACAUAGUAUUCCAUGGUGUAUAUGUGCCACAUUUUCUUAAUCCAGUCUAUCUUUGUUGGACAUUUGGGUUGGUUCCAAGUCUUUGCUGUUGUGAAUAGUGCCACAAUAAACAUACGUGUGCAUGUGUCUUUAUAGCAGCAUGAUUUAUAGUCCUUUGGGUAUAUACCCAGUAAUGGGAUGGCUGGGUCAAAUGGUAUUUCUAGUUCUAGAUCCCUGAGGAAUCGCCACACUGACUUCCACAAGGGUUAAACUAGUUUACAGUCCCACCAACAGUGUAAAAGUGUUCCUAUUUCUCCACAUCCUCUCCAG